GUAAUAUGGUGGUGGACUUCAGCAAUGCACAAAGAUUAAGGAUUUAGCAAACAGAGAGAAUGUGUAUACAACUUUUUUCAAGAAAGGUCCAAGCCCAUUUGCAGCAGGUUCGUUGAUGUUUUUUAUGUUAAAUUAACAUUUAAUAAUGUCGUACAAAAACCUUGCAUCUUCAACUGACAUUUUGCAAAGGUGUUUUAUCACGAUAACAACGGACAACUAAAGCAGACAUAAUUUAUGUUAAUAUAAUAUACCAACAUACCAUCGUUUAAAUAAACAGAUUGAUUUGGUGCAACCAUAA